rnacentral:rRNA from 1 species
CCUACGGGUGGCAGCAGUGAGGAAUAUUGGUCAAUGGGCGCGAGCCUGAACCAGCCAAGUCGCGUGAGGGAUGACGGUCCUACGGAUUGUAAACCUCUUUUGCCGGGGAGCAAGCGUGCGUUCGUGAACUCGCGUCGAGAGUACCCGGAGAAAAAGCAUCGGCUAACUCCGUGCCAGCAGCCGCGGUAAUACGGAGGUUGCGAGCGUUAUCCGGUUUUAUUGGGUUUAAAGGGUGCGUAGGCGGGAUGCCAAGUCAGCGGUAAAAAUGAGGUGCUCAACGCCGUCGAGCCGUUGAAACUGGCGUGCUUGAGUGGGCGAGAAGUAUGCGGAAUGCGUGGGGUAGCGGGGAAAUGCAUAGAUAUCACGCAGAACUCCGAUUGCGAAGGCAGCAUACCGGCGCCCUACUGACGCUGAGGCACGAAAGCGUGGGUAUCGAACAGGAUUAGAUACCCGGGUAGUC